CGUGUAUUCCGUGUCUUCUGUGUCCAUUUUAUUUGGAGAAGAAAGAAGUUUGUGUCUUCUAAACACAGAUAAACGCCCUAGAAAAAACCAGAGAAGAGUAAAAAAUGGGCAAGGGAGGCCAAUCCUGCAAUGGCAUGGUUAGAGAUGUCAAACCUGUGGAGAAGGAAAACAUGGCUGCUUGGCUCGUUGAUGUUAACACCAUCAAGAUCCUACCUUUCAAGCUCCCCACUAUUGGUAAUAAUCUCUCUCCUUUUUAAUUUCGUUGUUGUUCUGUUCGGUUUUUAGUUUCAGUUUGCAGUUCUAUAUUUUUUUUUGUUUUCUUGGAUGUAUAGCUAACUUGUUUUUCCCCUAUUUUGUUGGGAUUUCUUUAUUUUAGGACCGAAUGAUGUUCAAAUUCGAAUUAAGGCUGUCGGCAUUUGCGGAAGUGAUGUUCACUACCUCAAGACCAUGAAAUGUGCGGAUUUUGAGGUUAAAGAGCCGAUGGUGAUCGGACAUGAGUGUGCUGGGAUCGUAGACAAAGUUGGGAGCGAGGUGAAGCAUCUGGUGCCCGGUGACCGAGUGGCGGUUGAGCCCGGCAUCAGCUGCGCACAUUGCCAGCAGUGCAAAGGAGGCCGCUACAAUCUCUGUCCCGACAUGAAGUUUUUCGCCACCCCACCGGUUCACGGUGCCUUGGCUAAUCAGAUUGUGCACCCUGCAGAUCUGUGCUUUAAGUUGCCGGAAAAUGUGAGCUUGGAGGAAGGGGCAAUGUGUGAACCCUUGAGUGUUGGGGUUCACGCUUGUCGGCGAGCCAAUGUUGGUCCUGAAACAACUGUUCUGAUCAUCGGCGCAGGGCCUAUUGGUCUGGUCUCAGUUUUGGCCGCUCGUGCUUUCGGGGCACCAAGAAUUGUUAUAGUGGAUAUGGAUGACAAGCGUCUAGCGAUGGCAAAGUCUCUCGGGGCUGAUGACACCGUCAAAGUUUCAACAAAAAUGGACGAUUUAGAUGAUGAAGUUGCCGAAAUUAAAAAAGCCAUGAUCUCCGAAGUGGAUGUGACCUUCGAUUGUGUGGGUUUCAACAAAACCAUGGCGACCGGCCUCAAUGCUACUCGUCCUGGCGGAAAAGUCUGCCUUGUCGGAAUGGGACACGGCCUGAUGACAGUGCCUCUCACCCCUGCUGCUGCUAGGGAGGUCGACGUUGUUGGAGUUUUCAGAUACAAGAACACAUGGCCGCUUUGCCUCGAGUUUUUGAGGAGUGGGAAGAUCGACGUGAAACCGCUUAUCACGCACCGUUUUGGAUUCACGGAGAAGGAGGUGGAAGAAGCGUUUGCAACCAGUGCUCGUGGGGGUAAUGCCAUCAAAGUAAUGUUCAAAUUGUAAAGACAGUGACAAGUUUUGUUUAUCAAAUUCUUAGUAGAAUGUAGAGGGUGGGUGAGGGUGGGUGGCGGUGGGGCUCGCGAUGGGGGUGGGGGUGGGGAGAUAUUAUUUACGUCAUCACAAUAAGCACGUUCCAUUCCAUUGUAUGGUUUUUUAAGUAAUGACAGUAUUACUUUUCGUGGGCUUCUCGUUCUGUUUGUUUUGUAUAUUAGUCCUGCAACUGCAAAGCUUAACAAAAGGACUCCUUACCUGUUUACUAACUUAACCUUUGAAAUAGAGUGCUUUAGAUCCAUUCCAACGUUCUAUUUUUUCAUCCAUGGUGAUAUCCGACUGACCAUAAACAGUGGAAAAAAAUUAAGGGGUGUGCUAUCUAUACAUCUCAUUUUACUUCUCACACUCCUUGAACAUUUAUGUUUGUUUAUUUUCUUCAAUUCAUCUGAUCCAAUGAUCGAAAAUUAAAAAUAUGUGUGAGAAGGAAGAUGGGGUGUGUGUGGAUAUCACACCCCUAAAAUUAAAAUGUUAUUUUGCCACCCAUUAUUAACAAAAGCGAGAUAAGCCAUAUGGUUGUUCCCCAAUAAUUGUGGGUAUUGAACAAAAAUGCCACGGUUGGUAAGCCGAUGCCUCAAUAUUCGUGGCUAUAGCUUAAUUUUUUAAUAGUUUUUUAGAAUAGUAAGAAAAGAAAAAUACCCUUGUUCUUAAGAGCAUUUUCAAAUGAGAUGUCAAAAAGUCCAUGUAACAUCCCACAUCAACCAACGGAGAGGGGGUGAUGUGCCUUAUAUGUACAUGCCCACCUCCAUAUAGCACGAGGCCUUUUGGGAGCUCACUAGUUUCGAGUUCUAUCGGACCUCCGAAGUUAAGCGAGUUUGCGCGAGAGCAUUCCUAGGAUAAGUGGCCCAUUGGGAAGUUCUCAUGUGAGUUCCCAAAAAAUAAAACCAUAAGGGCGUGGCUGAGGCCUAAAGCGGACAAUAUCGUGCUACGGUGGAGCCGGUCUGGGAUGUGAUAGAAUGGUAUCAGAGCCACUUUGCCGUUCGGUGCGAGUGUGCGGACGAGGAUAUCGGGCCCCUAAGGGAGAUGGAUUGUAACAUCCCACAUCGACUAACGGAGAGGGGGUGAUAUGCCUUAUAUGUACAUGCCCACCUUUAUAUAGCAUGAGACCUUUUGGGAACUCACUGGCUUCGGAUUCCAUCGAAACUCCGAAGUUAAGCGAGUUCGUCACUAUGAGCGCAUAGGCGGAAGCCGUUUGCAAGUCCGGAUUAUAACGGUAUAGUUAUAGAAGUUUGAAAUUGGUUAUUUACAUUUUAGAUUAUAAAUAAAUUGAACUCCCAUCUUGUGGAAAAGAAGCCAAUCAGAUUUAAGCAAGAAAAUAAGGGACCAAAUCAAUUAAAGUAAGGGAGGACCAAUCAAAAAAUUUGAAAAAGAGGGAGUUAGCCAAUGAGGAGAUGAGAGAGAGAAGCUCUCAACUUCCCUUCCCGUAGCCCUUCACACGCAGAAACCUGAUUUUGACCCGAAGUGGUUUCCGGCGGUCUUCCACCAUUUUUCAGGCGAUUCAUUCACAUCCAACACCUGCAACUUCUUCCAUCACUUCCCAUCUACCAUUUCCGCCCAAAAUUGAAGGGUUUUAGGUCCAUUUUUGUGUAGAACUUCACCAGAGAACCCGGAGGUCCUCGAUGGCGAUUCGUCGAUCCGGCGAGCUGCACCACCCUUAAUCAAUUUCCCUUGGACCCAAGAACAAGACCCAACCAGUGAUAGGGGCAUUGGAACACCGAGGAAUGAGAAUCGAAGAACACCCACCUUAGGUUUCCGGUGGGUGCGAGCUAAAUUGGAGUUUUUCCAAGCCAAAUUGGACUUGGCCACAGGUAUAAAACUUUCUCUACUCAUUGAGAUCUUCAUUUCUAUGAAAUUUGAGAAUUUUUAGAAACAGUUGAUUUUUCCGGCGAGUAGGGACGGCCGACCAUUAUGUACGGCAGUGAAUGGGCCGAGGUAUCCCCUAACCUUCCUAGGCUAAAUUUGAUACCCCAAUUCCAUAUGUGAAGUCCGAUUGAUGGAAUUUCAUCGUUUGAACAUAGUUAUGAUACAAAUCGUUACUUGAUCCUUAUAUGAAUUGACGAUCCGACCGUUGGAUCGUCACCAAACUUUAAUACAUUAUAAUACAUAAUAUUUGAGGACAAUAGAAACUAACGGAUUGGGAAUCCGACAAACGGAUCUUCCCGAACUGGAUUUGUAAGCUCGUAAAAUGAAACGUCGGUCGCCACUUAAUUCUAGCAAUUGGCGGAAAUCCGACCGUUGGAUCGUAAUGAAAUUUAGUAUGAUGUUCUAGAAGCAUAAUGUGUAUCUUGAGGAUGUAUUUUAUGUAAAUUACAUGUUCUAGUGAUAAGCAUUCUAAGACGUUAUUUGAUAAUUGUUCUAAGCGAUGAUGAUUCGUGAUGCCUCGAUAUUUGUGCUAGGGAAUUGUAGCACGGACUUCAGUUGAGUGAGUCUUUUCCUUUUUAUAGUAUAUAUAUGAUUGAUAGUUCAACAAAUGCUUUUAAAUUGAUUUAGGCAUUUUAUGCCAUGUCAUAUAUAUAUAUAUAUAUUUUAAAUACUAUCAUAUGGUUGAGUUUUAAAUUGCAUCAUGGCAUAUCCAUAUGCAUAUUACCUGCAUAUAAUUGUUGUGAAUGCUUGGAAGUGUUAAGGUGAACGCGGGACGCUCAAGUAAGUUCAGGUGAGUUUAUGGUGUUAUUUGAAAUGAUUGAGUUAUGGCAUGACUAUAUUUAUGCUUUAUGCAACUCCAACACUGUCGUACAGGUUGCAAUAAUAGGCAACUCCGACCUUGUCGUACAUGUUGCAAUAAUAGGCAACUUCAACAUUGUCGUACAUGUUGCCUAUUGAGUAGUACAAGUUGCCUUAGGCAACUCCGACUCGUGUGUUAUCAUAGAUUGAUUUAUGAGUCGUAUAGGUUGCCUUAGGCAAUUCUGACUCAUGUGUCAGCAUAGAUUGAUGAGCACCUGAUUUUAUUAUACCGCUGCUGAUAUGUAGUGAUUUGGAAUAUUUCUGGAUUUACUGUUGAGUUGCAUUUGAUUUCAUACUUAUAUGUAGUAUGAUUUUUUGGAAACUAUACAGGUUUUACAAUAAUGGGUUAUAACAUUUUCAAAAGGUUUUUAUUAGAACUUUAUUUUCAGGCCCACUCACCUUUGUUUUUUCCCCAUCCAGGUUUUAAUAGCUGAGCUUUCUUAUUGACGAGAAUUCGUGGCAAAUCUUGGUAUUAGAGAUUACCUUUUAUGGUACGAUUCUCAAUCUACUCUACUGUACUUUACUUAUACUCUGACUUCACGUGUGAAAUGCGUUCAUUCAUGCUCAUAGCGCACUCUUCUAUUUAGGCACUUUUAGGUUUAAAUUCAUUCACAUUUUCCACAUCACUACACUUUAUGGCUUCGCCACCUUCCAGGUGUCGGCCAACACAACUUGAUUCGGAGUCCUAGUGGACAAUCCAGGUCGGGAUGUGUCCAUGCCCUCACGGUUUUAUUUUUGGGAACUCACACAAGAACUUCCCAGUGGGUCACCCAUCAUGGGAUUGCUCUCGCGCGAACUCGCUUAACAUCGGAGUUCCGAUGGAACCCGAAGCCAGUGAACACCCAAAAGGUCUUGUGUUAUAGGAGGUGGGCAUGUACAUAUAAGGCUUAGAGGAUCCACUCCCCUGGGUAGUGUGGGAUGUAAUAAUAUUAUAACAUCCCAUAUCGACCAAUAGAGAGGGGGUGAUGUGCGUUAUACGUACAUGCCCACCUCCAUAUAGCACGAGGCUUUUUGGGAGUUCACUGGCUUCGGGUUCCAUCGGAACUUUUUAGUUAAGCGAGUUCGCGCGAGAGCAAUCCUAUGAUGGAUGACCCACUGGGAAGUUCUCGUGUGAAUUCCCAGAAACAAAAUCGUGAGGGCAUGGUCAGGACCCAAAUAAGACAAUAUCGUGCUACGGCAGAGUCGAGCUCGGGAUGUUGUGGGGGGCCCGGGCCGGGAUGUGACAGUCUACAUCAACAAUAACAGUAAUAAAAGACAUCACUAGUGUUUUCCAACCAAAAUACAAAUUCCUAUGUGACAUGACAUAAAAAUGCAGCAGAUAAAGUUGCUGUCAAAUUUGACAACAUCUUCAAAUCUAUUUUUAGUAAUUAAUAAAUACCUUUUAUAAUUUUUUAAUAGUUAUCUUUUGUUUUAAAAUACUAAUUACAACUAUAAAAAGUAAAUAAUGUAAUAAAUAAUAGUUUAAAUUUGACAUAUCGGUUGGAGAACAGAAUUGAUACAAAGAUCGAUGGGCCACAUAAGCCUUCAAAUUUAAAUUUGUGUUUAAAUUUUGACAUCUCCUUUAGAUGGUCUAAAGCAUUCUUACCUAACAGGCUACCUCCUUUGCUCUACCGAAUACUCUUGAGCAGUUUUUCUACCCUGCGCAUUACCCACAUGCAAAUGCAUUGCUCAUCAACUUCUAAAACCUGAUCACGAUCACUUGUUUUCAUUUUAAAAAAAAAAAUGAAAGGCCAAGAUUUGAUUAAGUGAGCUGAUGCUCAAUUUCUGCGCCCAUGUAGGUGAUGCGCAUGAGAAAAAUUGUACUCUUUAGAGCAAAUUUUUGUUAGGCUUUUUGGGAUGCAAAGGAAGAGGUCUAAGACUCUAAGUUACAGUUCAUGUUCGACAAAAAAAUUGUACUAUGGAUGGAAUUAUGCAACAAUAAGAAUAUAUAUAUUUUUUUUUGUCAAAUAACAAUAAGAAUAUAAGAUAGUGUUAGGAAUGUGCAACCGGACAAAAUAAAAUAUCUUAAAGCAAAAAGGGUUGACAUGGACUCAAAAUAUAAGUGCAAAAGAGCUAUUUUAUCAGUGGAGGGCAUUUUCAAUAUGUGACAUGGCACAACUAGAACAAAAAUAAAACCGCGUCGAGAGAAGAAUGAUGGCGGGAUUUAGACCGGAAUUACUCGUAAAUCGGCAUAGACCUCCUAAAGUGAAGAUUUAGGACAAUUUUGAACAAAGUUUUUGGGAGGACUAAAGUAUAGUCUAAUUUUGUUGUAAACAUAAUCAAACUCAAGCGUAAGCUGGUGGAUCAGUUUAAUUGUAACCACGAACAUAGUGAAAUUCUUCAUAACCUUUCCAAGCCUAAAAUGAGUGGAUAACCGUAGUUUUCCAUCAGUUGUUUUCUUUUUUAACAAAAUAAAAAAUGCAAGAUAGAGUAAGCUUAUUGACUUGUUCAAGUGACUUUACUCACAUCUACUAUAAACCCUUCAUUCAACACAUAUGACCAGUUGUUGUUGAGGCGGGUUUGAGUGUGUAUUGCCGUGGCAUUUGUUAUCCAACUGUUAUUAUAACUAGGGUUCGAAUUGUUGACCGUCUAGCGGCCCUCUGACAUUCAUACUCCACUUCGAAGAAACUUCAUCACUGAUCUUUGAUGCGCCGAGUUGGCAACAGAAACCCCAAAGGACGGUUAAUCUGACGGUUAUUAUUUAAUGAGUUUUCUUUGGUCCUUGGGAUGUUCACAUUGCAACAUUUAUGAGUAAUUUAGUCGUUUGACAAUUUAGUUUGCCGACCAAAAGAAUUGAUAAAUAGAUCAUACAUUUUUAUUUGAUAAACUUCAUGUUUAUACCAUUCGCUAAAAUAAAUAAGACUAACUUGCAUCUUUAAAUGGUGGCCAGGAAAAAGCUAAAAUGUCUCUGUGAGUCUUCACAGCCUCAAGAAUAAUGGUUUGCCGUGGCAAAGCCACCAAUUGGUCCAUUUUGAUAUAAAAUAAUAUAUUUUUAAAUAGUAAAUUAUGUUGAUUGAUUUUAACCAAUGCGUCUUAAAUUCAAACACUACCAUCUUCUCAAAGUCUAAAUGAAUUUAGUCGCCAAAAUAAAUAAAAGAUUUAUUUGAUGGAUCCCACAUAUCAAAUGAGUUUUUUUUUUCCAACAUCAAAUGAGGGAAUUUCUCCAAUUAUGUUUGCUUCUUGCAACCCUAAUCUUAGUUUAUGAUCAAAAUUGCCAAGCUAUCUACCAAAAAAUUGAUUCGACGUGGGACCCACGAGAUGGGUAAAGAGUAUGUUUGCUACAUCAAUCUGACUCUGCAUGUCGUGGAAUCCAUUCAACAGUCCCUAAUAUCCGUUGAUUAUUUGUUUAGGUGCGCCCCUACACAGAUGGUUAAGUUUCAACUUUGUCUCUCAAAUAUUACAAGUUUGAGACCUAAUUAUGAUCAAUAGUUGUGUGACAAUUUAUAUUUAUAUUUUUUAGUAUUAUCAUAUAAAAAAAUAUAAUGCAAGAGAGACUUUGUUUUAUAGAUCACAUUUAAAUGAGUAAUGCAAGAUAAAUUAAAUUUGUAGAUUAAAUGAUAUGUUGCUAAUAAAAAAAAUGAAACAUUCAUAAAAAUGGUUUGGCCUAAGUUUAUCUUAACAAAAAAAACCAUGUUAUACCUUUAUUUAAUGAAAAGACUUAAAUUUUAAUGAAAAACCCUUAAACUUUAAUAAAAAAUAAAAAUAAAAAAACUAAGAUUUUAAUGAAAAAAGACAUAAUUCUAAUAUUAAAAAAUAUUUUUAAAAAAAAAACUGACGCACGAGACCUGCUCAUCUCACACAUACUGUUUAUGAAACUUACUAUAUUGUUUAUAAAACUUAACGGUACUACAUUGUUUCUGAAACUUACUAUAUUGUUUAUGAAAUUUACUACACUGUUUAUGAUAUUUAACGGUACUAUACUGUUUAUGAAACUUACUACACUAUUUGUGGAAUUUAACGGUAUGAUACUGUUUAUGAAACUUAACGCGCACUAGGCACACAUGAUUUUAUUUUAUGUUUUUUUUUCUUUUUGUCCUUAUCAUUAAAUAAAGUUAUUAGAUGGUUUUUGGUUAAAAUGCAAAGUAUUGAAGUCAUUUUCAUUCAUUUUCCUAAAAAAAUAAGCAUGUUAAUCAACAUUUAAGUAAUAAUCAAAUUAUCAAACUUCCAAGUCAUUUAGUUUACACAAUUUAAUCUACAAAUUUAGUCUCCUAACAUUACCCAUUUAAAUUAUCUUUUUAAUAAGGGAACUUUAACGAAAAGUACCCGGUACUGUUCACUUUAACGAAAAACCACAUUUUUACACUAAAAAGUCAAUCAUGAUACUAUUCACUUUACCCUUUAUUUUGUCCUUAUCAUUAAAACUCAAAGUUUUCAAGCCCUUUUCAUUAAUUUUCCUUUUUAAUAAUCGUAAGGUUCAUAAUAGAAAUAAGUUUCUACCUCCAACAAAGAGAUGGAGCAUUUUCCAAACAAACUCGUAAAAUCUAACUUUAAAAUUUUAUUUGUGGUUUCAAAAUUACAAAUUGGUUGGGCUUCUGAGAUUGAGAACCGCAUCUCAGCCAAUUACGUGUGAUAUUCCAGAUGUAGACCAAAGUUUCGUUCCAAAGGAGAUACCACUCCCAAUUUCAAUAAGACGCACUUAAAUCUAAAAGUGUGAUUGUAACCAAUGAGGGUCAUAUUUCAUAAAAAAAUUACCUAUCCAUUCUACAAACGAUGUUGUUAGGGGGUUAAAUUAUUAAAUGUUAGGGAGGGAAAUCAGGGGGAAACGAAACCGCACUAAAGUGCAUAGGCAUUAUUCAUUUCCAUCGCUGCAAUAAAGCAUCAUAUGCGAUUAUCAUAUUAUUAUGUGUGUUAUUAAUUUAUGUAUUAUAAAUAUUAGUAGAUUAUAUUGCUAAUAUGAGUCUACAGCAGGGAUUAACUAGUAUACACACAUGUUAUAACAAUAAUUUAUAUAUAACAACGUGACAAUGAAACUGGACAAUUCAAAAUAUGUAUAAAUAAAUCAAGUUGCCUAGUUUUAUACAGCUGUGACAACCACAACCAGGUGAUCUUGUAUCUUCACGGGCAUCCUAGACUAAUAUAAAUACCACCCAGUAGCAACGCUAUUUCCAUCAAGAAAUCAAAGUAGUCUGUGUAUUCCGUGUAUUCUGUGGCUUCUGUGUCUAUUUUAUUUGGAGAAGAAGUAGUCUGUGUCUUUAAAACACACAAAACACUUCAGAAAAACAGAUAGUAGUAAAAAAUGGGUAAGGGAGGCCAAUCCUGCAAUGGCGUGGUUAGAGAAGCCAAACCUGUUAAGCAGGAAAACAUGGCUGCUUGGCUUGUUGAUGUUAACACCAUUAAGAUCAUGCCUUUCAAGCUCCCCACUAUCGGUAUUAAUCUGUCUUCUUUUUUUGAAUUUAGUCGUUGUUCCUUUCAAAUUUCAGUUUUUAAGUUUCCGUGCUCUCUGUUGUAUUAGCUAACAUGUUGCUCCCUAUUUUGUUGGGAUUUCUUUAUUUUAGGACCGAACGACGUUCGAAUUCGGAUAAAGGCCGUUGGCAUUUGCGGAAGUGACGUCCACUACCUCAAGACAAUGAAAUGUGCGGAUUUUGAGGUUAAAGAGCCAAUGGUGAUCGGACACGAGUGUGCUGGGAUCGUAGACAAAGUUGGGAGCGAGGUGAAGCAUCUGGUGCCUGGUGAUCGCGUGGCGGUUGAGCCCGGCAUCAGCUGUGCACGGUGCCAGCAGUGCAAAGGAGGCCGCUACAAUCUAUGCCCCGACAUGAAGUUUUUCGCCACCCCACCUGUUCAUGGUUCAUUGGCGAAUCAGAUUGUGCACCCCGCGGAUUUGUGCUUUAAAUUGCCGGAAAAUGUGAGCUUGGAGGAAGGGGCAAUGUGUGAGCCCUUGAGUGUUGGGGUUCAUGCUUGUCGGCGAGCCAAUGUUGGCCCCGAAACAACUGUUCUGAUCAUCGGAGCAGGGCCUAUUGGUCUGGUUUCAGUUUUGGCCGCUCGUGCUUUUGGGGCACCAAGAAUUGUCAUUGUCGAUAUGGAUGACAAGCGUUUAGCCAUGGCAAAGUCUCUCGGCGCUGAUGGCACCGUCAAAGUUUCAACGAAAAUGGAGGAUUUAGAUGGCGAAGUUGCCAAGAUUAAAGAAGCCAUGGAAUCCGAGGUGGAUGUGACCUUUGAUUGUGUGGGUUUCAAUAAAACCAUGUCCACAGGUCUCAACGCCACUCGUCCCGGCGGCAAAGUCUGCCUUGUCGGAAUGGGACACGGCAUGAUGACAGUGCCUCUCACUCCUGCUGCUGCUAGAGAGGUUGAUGUUGUUGGGGUUUUCCGAUACAAGAACACAUGGCCGCUUUGCCUCGAAUUUUUGAGAAGUGGGAAGAUCGAUGUGAAGCCGCUUAUUACACACCGGUAUGGAUUUACAGAGAAGGAGGUGGAAGAAGCCUUUGCAACAAGUGCUCGUGGGGGCAACGCCAUCAAAGUCAUGUUUAAUUUGUAAAGACAGCUACAUGUUUUGGUUAACGAAUUCUUAUUAGAAUGUAGAGAAAGGGAGAGGGGGAUUAUUUGCAUGUCAUAACUCAAUAAGCAAAGUUCCAUGUUUUUUUUAAUCUGUUACGAUGAAGCUUAAUAGAAACCGCUUACUCAUUUACCAAGAGCGAGAAAUUCCAGGGUUAUUGCCCAAGAAGGGUGGCUAUUGAACCAAAAUGCCACGGUUGGUGAGCCGCGGGUCACAACAUUCGUUGCCAUAACCGAACUGUAGGAAAGAGCACGAAAAGAAUGGUCUUUUCGGUACUCUACUUGAAUCAAACUUUUUAAACUGAAAAAUAAUUUUUAAAGUUUUAGGCCUUAAAAACUUAUUUAGUAGGACUAUUUUAAAAAACUGAACUUAAGUUCUCUAAAAACAUAAAAAGUGAGUUUUUAGAGUUUUUAAACUUAAACUCACUCAUUUCUUUUUUCUUCCUCCCCUCUCACUCCAAAUCUAUCUCUAUCUCUUUUCUUCUUCUAUCUCCUCUGUUUUUUUUAUACAUUUUUCGUCUCUCCUCUAAUUCGCUCUCUUCAUUCUCUCGGUUCUUUCUCUCACUGUUUUUCCUCUCUAUCUCGUCUGAUCCUCUCACUUCUUUCUCUUUCCUUCUAUCAUCUCUUACUUUCUUUCCUUCUCUCUCCUCUUACUCCCUCUCUUGCGACUCCCUCUCUUGCGGCCCCCUCUUUUUAGAUCUCUUUGUUUAAUUUAAGUCGUAAGAUUUAAAAAUUUUAAAUCACAAACCAAUCAAGUUUUUAAGUGUUAAAGAAAAUUGUUUUUAAGAAAUGUUCUUAAGAAAUGUUUUGAAAAAUGAUAAAAAAAAAAUUACAAAUAAGAUACCAAACAAACCCGAAUAUUCUUCAAGGUUUUGAUUGAAUAAUAUGAAAGACAACGCCAUAUCACCAGGGAAAAAAUGGUUAUAUAGUUUACCUAAAACCAAGACUUGCUAGGAAUCCUAUGUGAAACUUGCGAGAAAAAUAACAAAACUACAUAAUAUCCUCAAAACUAAAAAUCCAAAUUUGACAUAGCAAACAAAGGAAUUUAACCUAUAAAACCCAUAGAUCACAAAUUAUCAGUGAGUUUGACACGUGACACCGUUUUCGAAGAGAAAACAUAUUACGGGCCUAAAUCCGAGUUGAGAGCCCAAACCUAUGUUGUGUGGACCUUGAUGUUCUAUUUAGGCUUAUCAAGUUGAUCUUCGAUGUUGGAACUAAAUUCGAGCAUAUCUGCGGACGAAGACAGUGUUCAAUCGGAAUGACCCAUGAACUCCGUAGAAGGGUGAAUGGGGUUGAUUAUGGGUGUGAUUGAUUCCAUAUCGGAUUGCCUACAUAUCUCUGGGAUUAUCAAAUCACUAUUAUUGUUGAAGAAAUGAGUAUCUAUGAUGUGUACGACAUCAAAACACAUCAUUGACGAAGGUGCCUUGGCUUAGGUGCGUAAGAGAUGUUUUUCCAUGUCUACGCGUAGACGAAGGUGAGCAAGAGAUGUCUUUCCAUGUCUACGCCUGAGAGAAUAUGUGCGGAAAGAAUGUGUGUUAUAGCUAUUAGAUGAUCAGAGAGAAGUCCCAAAUAAAUACACAGGGUAAGAUAUUUAUGAGAUAUUGAGGGAGCAAUCCCUAUUUAACAGAAGAGACUAUAUAGGAGGAAAUCUAGGAUAAGAUAUUCAGUUAUCCUAAUAUUAUGAUUACAUUGCAUAAUCCACAAGAUAUCCUUAUUUGACUUGAAUUAGGGUUUCCUUACUUUGGAGACAAGUAAUAUAUUUAACGGGCUUAGAGCUAAUGGAGUUGUGAAGGAUUACCUUAUCAUGUGGUAGUCUGAUCCGGAAUACCCCGUGUAGCUAUGAUCUCACUUUGAGGACUUUCGAGUCAUUCUAACCACCCUUGUCUCAUGAGCCUAGAAAAAUCAUGAUCCCACGUUCAAGUUAUUCUGCCAUCUAUUGUAUCCAAUAUCAUGUCGUUCGAAAUCAAUCCUUUUUUUUGUCUCUAUCUGUGCUCUUAGCAUCGGUUUAGCCACACUGCUAUUGCUAUAUGGGAAUCAUGAAUCAUUCUUUAGUGCUAGCACUAAGUAAGCAAUUUUACAUCUCCCUAUGAUCGAGUAAUCAAACUACCUCUCUCUCUUCCUCAACAAGAUCUAGGCUUCGCUUGUCCUGAUCCUUAACUAAUUUCAAAACUAGAAUUGCUUCUUUUAAAUUUUGAAUUUGAGUUUUAAUUUUUUAAUUUCUUUUAAAACUCAAAAUAAUUAACAACCAAACCAAACCAAACGACUUCAGAUAUACAAAAAAAAAUUGAUUAGUAAAAUCUUCUUCGAUUCUCAUGGUAUUCCUCUUCACUUGGAAGUGAGACGUCUUAUAUUCGAAUAUCGUAGAUGACGAAUUCAAUACCAAAUUAGAUUGCUCAUUGUGUGGCUUAGCCAAACUCCUCAUUUCCUUAAUGUAAAAAUAUCGAUGUAUUAAAAAAAAAACUUCUUCGAUUCAAUUUUUACCGUAAGUACAUCGAAUCGGGGAUCGAUUUGAGGAGAAAGACGGAACGCGAGACAGAAGCUGUGGCUGGUGUGGUGGCUUAUGGUGCCGUAUGGUGGGCGGGGGAGCCUCAUUAGCGACAGUUGUUGCGUUGGCGUAUGUUAUUAUGAUUUCUGGGAUACAAUUGUUGACGGCCUCUUUGACUUUCAUGCUGGACUUGAAUUGAUAAACUUCACAAGCUGAUGCUGCACUUCAAAGAAACUUCGUCAUCUUUCAUGCGCCAGAAAAUUAGGGUUGCAAACAGAAGAACCCAGUUGACCGUUUAUUUUGUUUUCUGGUAUAUUAUCCGACGGUUAUUAGUUUAAGAGUUGGUCGGUAGGGUGUUGACAUUGCCAUUGCAAAAUUUUGGGAGAAAUAUUUUAGUAAUUUGACUAUAUUGAUUUUAUUAAUCAGUCUUUUGCCGACAAAAAAUUAGAUAAAUAAAUCAUACAUUUAUUUCAUUGGCUAAAACAAUUAUUAUUUUAUUUUUUUAACCAAAAUGGUUCAUAAGAUUGGCAUAACUUAUGUAUGGUCAUUGAGAUUGAAAAUCGAUAGAAGUGGUAACUAAAUUUGUCCACGGUCUAUUAUUUUGGUCAUUAUGUGAAUUUGAGAGUGUUUUUGUCCAGUCAACACCUCUACUUGUUUUUUCAUUUAGCAGAGAUUUUUUACGGAAUGACAAAAUGAUUGACAGUCUACAAACCAAAGCGCAAUUUCUAUCGAUUUUCAAUCUGAAUUACCAAAGUGAAGAGUUAUGUUAAUCUCAUAGAUUAUUUUGAUUAAAAAAAUUAAUAGUUCUCUAAUUCGAUAUUAUCUACACUACGAGUGGGAGAUUUAGUUAAAUCUCAUAAUGGACUAGUCAUAUUUCGAUAUUCUACACAAACGAGUGAGGAAGUGUACUAAACCUCACAACAAGUUAGUCAUAAUAAUUCAACAAAAUUUAACAUAACACAUUUUUCUUACAAAUGAAAACAAAUACAAAUAAACUGUAGUUCUAAGCAAUGGCUGGUACAAAUAUUUGUGAUAACCUAAUCAACAAAUAAGACUUUCUUUUACCAAAAAAAAAAAAAAAAAAACAAGUAAGACUUUCCUUCCAAAGAAGAAAAAAGGAAUAUUCGAUCUGAUUCCAUAUCAAGAUUCAUGGGGGUAAUUACGCGAAAUAUGUUUCCUGAUGGGGUUACAACGCUAAUCUUAAUUAAGCUCGAAAUUACUCAACUACCUACCCCAACUUGAAUCGACGUGGGACCCAACUGAUGGAUAAAGAGGACGAAUCCACGUCAAUCUGACUCUGCAUGCCGUGGAAUCGAUUCAGCAGUCCCCUCACAUCCGUUGAUUCUAAUGUAGGUGGUCCCUACACCAACACCAUCGCGCAUCUUGCACUCCACUUGAUAUUCGGCUGGUUUAGUAGUUGACAUUGUGUUUAAAUGAUAUUUCUCUUCGUAAUAAUUGUAAAAAAGAAGUUUUAAAUUGAACUUGCAUCGUUGAUGAGGCGAAUUUAAAAAUAGAUUUAUUUUAUAAAUAAAAAAUUUGACUGCUUUCAAGUUCCAAAAAGCUAGGCGAAAAUUUAUCUCGAAUGUUAUUUUGUGGUUGAAAAAAUAUAAACUGGUUAGGCUUCCAAAAUCGAGAAGGGCGUUCAUGGCACACAAUAACGGUUGUUGUUUAAAAUAUCAAUAUAUCGAUGUCAGUUAUCUUUGAUAGAAUUCAUGGUAAUUUAUAAUGCGAUGAGUGUUUAAACUUAUUCUUAUUUAGUCAAAAUUAGAGAAAAUUUUCUUUAAAAGUUCAAAAGUUUUAAAUCUGUAAUGGGUUCCGGUAAAAUUUAUGUACUGAAUCAUAUAUCUCGCUGAUAUAUAGUUAGGCAUUUCACUUUCUCUUUCCAUAUUGAUCCUAAUUUUUCGAAUAAGCUGCAUAUGAAGCCAAUUUAGGAAUGACAUUUGAGAUGCACAAAGUAGUUUCUCUCAAGAGGAGAUACCAAUCCCAAUUCAAACAAGAGACGCAUGUAUCCAAAAGUGUGUUUGUAACUAAUGGGAAUAUUCUUGAGAACAAAUCGCUCCGUCCAAAUCCAAAUUCUUGGGGUGUGACAUUCAUACCAUCACGUUAUACUAUUAAUUUAUGGAUUAUAACAUGCGUAGAUGACAUAAUUAUGAUAAAUAUACACGUAUUAUGAUAAGAAUGAAUUAAUUUCUCCACGUAAUAAUGUGACAAUUACAAUGAAAAUUUCCUAUAAUUAUCCAAAAUACACGUUAAAUGAUAAAUAUAUACACGUGUUAUGAUAAGAAUGAAUUAAUUUCUCAAUGUAACAAUGACAUUCACGAGGAAAGAUUUCAGAAUAAUUCAAGAUGCACGUUAAAUUAGGUUCCCCAGGACACGGCUGUGACAACCACUACUUGGCCAUGUGAGAUAGAUUCUAUAAACUUACAGCAGGUGAUCUUGCAGCUUCACAGGCUUCCUAAACUAAUAUAAAUACCACCCCGUAGCCACUCUAUUUUCAUCAAGAAAUCAAACAAGUCCGUUCAUUCCGUUUAUCCGUGCCUUUUGUAUUAUCUGUGUCUAUUUUGUUAGGAGAAGUAGUAGUUUGUGCCUUAGAAACACACUUUAGAAAAAACAGAGAGUAAAAAAUGGGUAAGGGAGGCCAAUCCUGCAAUGGCGUGGUUAGAGACGCCAAACCUGUUGAGCAGGAAAACAUGGCUGUCUGGCUAGUUGAUGUUAACACCAUCAAGAUCCUACCUUUCAAGCUCCCCGCUAUUGGUAUGUACUUAUCUCCCUACUUUUAUUUUCAUCGCUAGUUUUUUUUUUCGGUUUUUGAUUAUCAGUUUUCAAGUUUCGUUGAAGUAUUGGCUAACAUCUUGCUCUCCUGUUUAUUGGGAUUUCUUAAUUUUAGGACCGAAUGAUGUUCGAAUUCGGAUUAAGGCUGUUGGCAUUUGCGGAAGUGAUAUUCACUACCUCAAGACCAUGAAAUGUGGGGAUUUUCAGGUUAAGGAUCCGAUGGUGAUCGGACAUGAGUGUGCUGGGAUCGUAGACAAAGUUGGGAGCGAGGUGAAGCAUCUGGUGCCUGGUGACCGUGUGGCUGUUGAGCCCGGCAUCAGCUGCGCACAUUGCCAGCAGUGCAAAGGCGGCCGCUACAAUCUAUGCCCUGACAUGAAGUUUUUCGCCACCCCACCUGUUCAUGGUUCAUUGGCGAAUCAGAUUGUGCACCCCGCGGAUCUGUGCUUUAAAUUGCCGGAAAAUGUGAGCUUGGAAGAAGGGGCAAUGUGUGAGCCCUUGAGUGUUGGGGUUCACGCUUGUCGGCGAGCCAAUGUUGGUCCCGAAACAACUGUUCUGAUCGUCGGCGCAGGGCCGAUCGGGCUGGUUUCCGUGCUGGCUGCUCGUGCUUUCGGAGCACCAAGAAUUGUCAUCGUAGAUAUGGAUGACAGGCGUUUAGCCAUGGCAAAGUCUCUCGGCGCCGAUGGCACGGUCAAAGUUUCGACAAAAAUGGAGGAUUUAGAUGACGAAGUUGCCAAGAUUAAAGAAGCUAUGGGAUCCGAAGUUGAUGUGACCUUCGACUGUGUUGGCUUCAACAAAACCAUGUCUACGGGCCUCAAUGCCACUCGUCCUGGCGGCAAAGUUUGCCUUGUCGGAAUGGGACACGGGGUGAUGACGGUCCCUCUCACUCCGGCUGCUGCCAGGGAGGUUGACGUGGUUGGAGUUUUUCGUUACAAGAACACAUGGCCGCUUUGCCUAGAGUUUUUGAGAAGCGGGAAGAUCGACGUGAAGCCGCUUAUUACCCACCGGUUUGGUUUUACCGAGAAGGAGGUGGAAGAAGCUUUUGCAACCAGUGCUCGGGGGGGCAACGCCAUUAAAGUCAUGUUUACUCUAUAGCAAAUCAACCAUGAAGUUGCAGAAUUUCGGAUUGUUUGAGGGGGCAAGUUUGUGAUGGUUUGGAAAUUUGGAAGUCAUCAUCUCGGAUGAAGAAUGUUCUUGUUCUAAAGUUCGUGGAAACUUGUUGUACAGGGACCAUUGUAUACCUUUAUUAGAUCUCGGCAUGCACCAGUGUAGUAGCUUCCCGUAUUUUUAACAUGAGUCCGUCAAUAUAUAUGAACUAUGUAUGUAACUAAAAGUUCUUCAAUAUAAGUCUUUUUUUCCGCUGAAGUUGUUUUCAUUUGACACGAGUCUGUUGGCCUUGCUUCAGUUCCUUUGGACCAUCGAAGAGAGUACUAGACACAUCGUGAUGGAGAAAUAUAGACGUACUUCUAUUAGUGUAGAAAAUAUAUACCUUGAGUUACUGUUGUUCCAAUAGCAUUUCUUGCUGCAGUAGCGUAUGGUAGAGCAGUUUAUGAAUAUCUACGCGGUGGAUUUGAUUUUACCAAAGAUGAUGAGAAUGUUAAUUCCUAACAAUUUUACAAAUUAUCACAAACCCAACUUAUUAAGUUAGAGAAAUUGGUCACAAGAUGAACAUUCUUUAUCACUUAAAUUGCAAGUUACUCUUUCCUCUCUCUUUUUCACCCUAAGGCAUUUUCUUUUCACCCUAAAGUUGUAAACCUAAUACUUUUGUGUUAACGAUGGUUGUCCAAAUACUACUUUUGAGGGUUAAUAGAAUCUAAUAUUUCUUUUCUAAAACGAAAAAUAGUUAAAGAGCAAAGCAUUUAGAGCAAUUCCACCCCUAAGACUUUACGCCAGCACCCAGCGCAUUUAUCCACUCAAGUGAACAGUAAUAAACCCCAGUGAAUAGUAAUAGGUCAAAGCAUCUCCACCCCUAAAAAAAUGCGCUGGCACCCAGUCUAAAAAUGUGUUGGCACAAACGAUCUUCAGCCUUACAAAAUGCGUUGGCACCCAGCCCAUUUAAAAUUUUUUAAAUUUUUUUAUAAAAGAAUAAAUAAAUAAAAUAGUUUUAAUUUCGGAUAAGAUUUUUUAACCAAUCUUGUAACGCCAUGUGUCAUUAUCCGAACGUACUAUUUUGUGAAUAGAUUUCCUCUAAGAUUUGCAACCAAUCCCGAUGCGCCACGUGUCACUAUCUUCUUUUUUUUAAGUUUAUAUGGUGAGGUUAUGUAAUUUUAUGUGGUGUUUUUUUUUUUUGUAAAGUUUAUUUGGUGAGUUUAAUGUAAUCUUAUUUGGUGAGUUUAUGUAAUCUUAUUUGAUGUGUUUAAAUAAAGUACAAAAAAUAAAUUUGAAAUUACAUAAAGUUCUAAAAAUAAAUAAGAAAUUACAUUAAAAAUUACAUAAGAAAUUAAAUAAAGUACUACAAAGAAAUACGAAAUUAUACAAAGUCAGUGGAGCUAGGAUAUGUGGUGCUAGGAUCUUCGUUGCUAGGAUUUCUGUAGCUAGAACCCCUCGACUUGUUUCCGGUAUCAGGGUCAUGAGUAGUGUGAACCCAACAUUCACACAACGUAACAUCUUCAAUGUUCUUCCACGAAGAAAUUUUUUUCUCUCAAAGUGUAGAAAAUAUUGAAAUGUAGAUAGUGUAGAAAGUGUGGAAAAUAUUGAAAUGUGGUGUAAGGUGGAAGAUGAGGGUUAUGUAUUUAUAGAAAAAUAAUAAUUAUUUUUUUGUAUUUUUUUAUAAUUUUUAAUAAAUUUUAAUGUAGCUAAUUAAUCUGGGCCGUUGGAUUUGAAAAAUAUUCAAAUCCAAUAGCCUAUAAGGUGCCACGUGGCCAACGGUCAUAAUUCUGUGGGUUGAAAAACGUGGACCGUUGAUCUGUAAUCGAACGGUCCAGAUCAAAAUUAUAAUUCAAAUUUUUUUGACCGUUGGAAAUCCAACGACAUAUAGUGGGCCACGUCGCAAGCUCGGGUGACAAUUGAGUGCGCCUGUCAGCGGGCCCCGUCGCUGAAUUGAUGUCUGCUACUCGCGCCCACUCGAGCGUGAGUGCCAUGCGCCAGGCGCAAAAAAGAAAAUGGGCCUGUCCCUGGGUCAGUCAAUUUUAGCAUGGCCUGGAGACUAGCAUGGGCUGGGUGCCAGUCUAUUUCACGGGGACAGACCCCUAGCUUGGUUUUUUAACUGGGUGCCAGCACAUUCGCCCUCCGGUGGAAGUGCUCUUAUGUACAAACGAAGUCUAAAAAUAAUGCAUACCUAGCACAACUAGAAAUCUAAGAAUGAUCACUUAGUGUCUUUAGUGAGUCAAAAUAUUUGCAACAAAGUUCGGCUCACUCCAAACACGAAUGGACUCAAAGCCUUUUGGCUUGUAGAACACAUGUAUGAAGUGUUGAGGCUUCAUCGAUUGGGGCGAAGUGUGAGCCCUUGAGUCUUUUCGGCCUCCGAAAUAAUGGAAUGUUUUAACUUGACCAGCAACUGGUCCCUUUUUUUAUUUAAGAAAAUGUGAGUUUCAAUUAAUUUUAUAAACAAUUUUAAAUGUUAAACUCAUUAGUACUUGUGGCAAUGACUUGAUUACAUGUUAGCGAAAAGUAGCUCACAUAGAUGACAUGUUAUAAAAGUUAGUAGCGUAUUUGGCGAAAGUAACGAAACAAGAUAAAGUGAGACAUAAAAAUUGAGUUAGUAGAGUUAGAGCUAAGUGACACGAAAAUGAGUUUAUAGUGACAUAGUGAGUUUCACUCAUAGUUUAGGAGAUAUCAAAUUAAACGAUCAAUAUUUUCACCUUUUUAAAUUACAAGAACCCUAAUUAUAUUCUACAAAUUAAACAUUAACCCUUACAAUUUUUAUUUGGACUAACUAGUUGCCAAACCACAAAGAUCCGGCCCAAAUCCCGUCCAUCUAAUCGCCUCACGCCAAACUUGAACUUCACUUCCUCCCACUAUGAUCUCUUAUAUACAUAUUUUAGGGAACUUGUAGAGAAUCGACAAAAAUGUAUUUUCAUGUAGCCUUGCUUAGCCAAUAUGCUCAUCACUGAGCUAUCCAAUAUAUCGCCGACAUUGAUGCAUCGACAAUAUUGACAAAGACCGUCUGUGAUCUUUGGGAGAGACAAUCAACUUGUUCUUUGUUAAUAUCGUCGAUGUGUUGAUAUUCCUUGUCAGUAUUUUCAAAAUGGUAAUGAGUUCUAUUGAUGUUCAAAAUGGUAAUAAGUUCUAUUGAUGUUGUUGAUAUUUUCACUUGAGAAAUGUUAAGAAGAUUUAAAAAAAAAAACGAAACUCUUUAUGAACUAUUUGCCACAUUAUACUUUUGUCACAAUGUUUUAUAAUGUUGGCAUUGAAAUUAACAUUAAACAGUGAUGUGGUAGAAAGUCCACAGAGAGUCUCACUUUGUGAGAGUCUCUUUAGCAUUUAUCUUUUUACUAUAUUGAGUUUAAGUGGUGGAUUCUCUUGAUGGUUAGGGUAUUUCUCUUCAACCCAUUAUAUUAUCCGGUCAAAAAUCCUAUCAUUUUGGAGUAAAUUAGUGUAGAACAUCAUUUGUAUGUUGCAUAUAUGAAAAAAAAAAAUAUUUGCUCACCGCCCUCACAUAAUGAUAAUACUCACCAACAUAAUUCGAGAUAUAUAUACUAGAUAUAACUUUCAAAAUUUAAGUUUAUCCAACAAAGAUAAAUAUUAUCAGCACUUGAGGGCCACGAUAAAAAAUACACCCAUACGAAAAGACGGUGUAAAUGAGAGGAGAGAUUUUGUAAGAGGGGCCACUAAAACAAAUUUUCCAAUAUAUUAUGCUUCAUACGCGUGUGUCUAACUGUACACCUUGUACGUGGCACCUCAUUAUCCAUUGUUGAUGUACCACGGCUCCCUUGUACAUAUUUUAGGGAACUUGUAGAGAAUCGACAAAAAUGUAUUUUCAUGUAGCCUUGCUUAGCCAAUAUGCUCAUCACUGAGCUAUCCAAUAUAUCGCCGACAUUGAUGCAUCGACAAUAUUGACAAAGACCGUCUGUGAUCUUUGGGAGAGACAAUCAACUUGUUCUUUGUUAAUAUCGUUGAUGUGUUGAUAUUCAUUGUCAGUAUUUUCAAAAUGGUAAUAAGUUCUAUUGAUGUUCAAAAUGGUAAUAAGUUCUAUUGAUGUUCAAAAUGGUAAUAAGUUUCUAUUGAUGCUGUUGAUAUUUUUACAUGAGAAAUGUUAAGGAGAUUUAAAAAAAAAACGAAACUCUUUAUGAAUUCUUUGUCAUAUCAUACUUUUGUCACAAUGUUUUAUAAUGUUGGCAUUGAAAUUAACAUUAAACAGUGAUAUGGCAGAAAGUUCACAGAGAGUCUCACUUUGUAAGAGUCUCUUUAGCAUUUCUCUUUUCACUAUAUUGAGUUUAAGUGGUGGAUUCUCUUGAUGGUUAGGAUAUUUCUCUUCAACCCAUUAUAUUAUCCGGUCAAAAAUCCUAUCAUUUUGGAGUAAAGUAGUGUAGAACAUCAUUUGUAGGUUGCAUAUAUGAAAAAAAAAAAAUUUGCUCACUGCCCUCACAUAAUGAUAAUACUCACCAACAUAAUUCGAGAUAUAUAUACUAGAUAUAACUUUUAAAAUUUAAGUUUAUCCAACGAAGAUAAAUAUUAUCAACACUUGAGGGCCACGAUAAAAAAUACACCCAUAUGCAAAGACGGUGAAAAUGAGAGGAAUGAUUUUGUAAGAGGGGCCACUAAAACAAAUUUUCCAAUAUAUUAUGCUUCAUACGCGUGUGUCUAACCGUACACAUUGUACGUGGCACCUCAUUAUCCAUUGUUGAUGUACCACGGCUCCCUUGACUUUAUCAUGCACAUUAAAGCAAGAAACUUCAGGAGGGUUGCAACUCACCGGUCACCGAAUUCGAUCCCACAUAUUUCUGACGCGGGAAUUAGUCAGUCGUCACCUACCUUGGACGCGUGCCAGAAACCCUAAGGCUUGCUGGCAACACAGAGAGCACAUCUCGUGUUUAAGCCUGGCUACACAGGGACCAACCAACUGUUACUAAAUAAUUAGGUUUUUGGUCGGUUUUUGUUGGUUGAUAAUGGAUGGUGGGAGUCAUUACUGCACAGAAUGGCUAAUAGAUUAUGCUAACCGACCAAAAAUAUAUUUAAUUCAGGCGUUAAAGGAAUCCCAUGAAAAGUAACAAAAGAAAAAGAUAACUUCUAAAACAAGAUUAUUAUUAUUAUUUUAAUUUACUAUUAUUAAGAGGAGGGGGAGAUUUUUUUUUUUAUCUUUUGGGGAAGAUAUUGAAACGACUAAUUACAUUAAUUUAGAGAACAUGAGAGUUUUUAAUCCUGAGCUAUAUAUGUAUAUAAACUCAACGCUCUAUCAAUUAGAAUAUUGAAUCACAUAAAAGAAAUAAAAUGAUAAUUUUGGCCCCUUACUCAAAUUUUUAGCCACAUCUCUCACCUACUUGAUCCAAAAAGAAAAAAAGCAUUAUUGCGUGCUUACCUGCUUGUUAGCUCUACCGACUCGUUCGAGCAGAUUAUAGUCAGGUAUUUUGGGGAUGCCAAGGCUAGGGUUUACUCGGAUACUAAGGUAGAUGAAAAUAAUGCCCAACAACAAUUAAAAUGGUGUUAGGAAUGUUGAAUAGGACCACAUAACCAGGACGUUAAAAUGAUAGUAUCAUGUGUUAUUAAGUGUUUUUUAUAAUACUGUCGUUUUGUCCUAUUACCAUGUAAUUUAAUUUUUCAGUUUGCUUCCGUUCAACUAUAAUGUUACCUUCUUUUUUUUUCCUGUCGACAAUUUUGUUUACUCCAAAGUUAUGAAGUCAAGGGAAGGAAGCCCUUGACAUAAUCUCCAAAAUUAUUUGAAUCUCUAAGUAUUUGCUGUAAGGAUAAUUAAACUGUUUGGAAUAAACUGAAGGAGGACAGCAUAUUCCAGAUUCCACUUUGAGUAAACCUAAACCUAACAUGGGCAUGACUAACAGCAAAACCGUGUACAUAGUACAUACUCAAACUUAGAUCGUCAAACUUAAAUAUUGUUACAACUGUCUUGAUUUGGAUAACGUUUGAUAAUCUCACUUUCAGCGUCCAAAUAUUUGGAUAAUCCAAUUGGAAAAUUCCUGCUAGCAGCUUAGGAAAAUGGAUGCACCGUCCAAGACUAAUGGAGGACGGCAUGUGGUAGAAGCUUUUCUACGCUAAGUGUGGAUUAGACUUGUUAAUUGUGGAUAACGCUAGAAUUCCGGCGAAAUUCAGUGUCAAACAUGUGGGGCUGGGGUGGGGGAUGGUGGUGGUGGUUUGUUCAUUGCUUUAAACCUAGUCAUAGAAAAAUGUGUAAAGUGACUAUUAUUUUAUUUUAUACAAACAACUUUAGAGAAAGGGGAUUGAAAACACAUGAGUUUGAGUACAUAGAAAAUGCUUUAAUCACGAUUACAAAAAAAAAUGCUUUAAUCACUCAAGUUACCAGAUCUCGGUUAUAAUAUGAGUUGAUUCUGUUUAGAAUUGAUGCUGAUUUGCAGUUUAUGUGAUCGUUAACUAUGAAGAGGGAUUGAAACACACAUAAAUGUUUUAAUCACUAAAGUUACAAUAUUUUGAUUAUACUCUGAGUUGAUUAUGUUGAGAAUUAAGGCUGAUUUACAAUUUAUAUGAUCCUUAAUUACGAAGAAAAACUUGUGUUUGACUAACCAUAAACGACCUAAAAGAUUAAUAAGUGAGACAAAUUGUUAGGAUCACAUAUAGCUCUCUAUGCGUCCGGUGGAUCAUGGUUGCACUUGUAGGUUUCUUGAUACACCCCCUCUCCCAAUCUGUCAUCGCUAGUCUUCUUGAUGACAUAUAAAGGGCUGUUUGGAAAACAGUAUUAAAAAUGGAGUGCUAUGCAGAAAAGCACUCUUGGUAAUUAUAUAAAACGAAACUUUUCAAUUUUUUUGACUUAUCUAGCAUAUGUGUCAACAAUUUGUAAGAAUGUGAAAGUACUCCUUCUGGGAAACAUCCAGGCAAUGUCCCACAAUUAAAUACAUUUAUUAAUUUCUAAAAAUAAUUAGAUAAUGUUCCAGGGUUGGCUUAUCCAACUUACAAACCAACUUUACCAAAUCAGACUCUCAAGUUUGCUAUAAAUACCACACCCUAGCCAAGCUUGCUCCAUCAAAAAACACAACUAUUCUGUCUUUCAAACACAGAAGACACAGAGCAAACAGCGAAAGCAAUACACUUCAGAAAGAAAAAAAACAGAGAGCAAGUAUCAAAAGCAUUAUGGGUAAGGGUGGGCAAAAGAUUUAUGGAUUGGCUAAGAAAGCCAAACCUGUUCAGCAAGAAAACAUGGCUGCUUAUCUUGUUGAUGUCAACACCAUCAAGAUCCUACCUUUCAAGCUCCCCAGUAUCGGUAUUUACUUCUCUCCCUUCUUUUAAAUUCAUCGUUAUUUUUUUUCGGUUUUUUGGUUUUCACCGUUGUAGUGAUGCUAACAUGCUGCUCCCCUGUUCUCUUGGGAUUUCUUAAUUUUAGGACCCAAUGAUGUCCGGAUUCGGAUUAAGGCGGUUGGUAUUUGUGGAAGUGAUGUUCACUACCUCAAGACCAUGAAAUGUGCGGAUUUUGAGGUUAAAGAGCCGAUGGUGAUGGGACAUGAGUGUGCUGGGAUCGUAGACAAAGUUGGGAGCGAGGUGAAGCAUCUGGUGCCUGGUGACCGGGUGGCGGUUGAGCCCGGUAUCAGUUGCUCACGGUGUCAGCAGUGCAAAGGAGGGCAGUACAAUCUUUGCCCCGACAUGAAGUUUUUCGCCACCCCACCGGUUCAUGGUUCCUUGGCAAAUCAGGUAUAAAUUUCGACUUUCUUAACCUUUGUGACAUAUGAAUUCUAUGGCAUCAGGACCGUAUAUAAUGACCAUCUGUUUUUAACAGAUUGUGCAUCCUGCGGAUCUAUGCUUCAAGCUGCCAGAGAAUGUGAGCUUGGAGGAAGGGGCAAUGUGCGAGCCCUUGAGUGUUGGAGUUCAUGCAUGUCGGCGAGCCAAUGUUGGUCCCGAAACAACUGUUCUGAUCAUCGGAGCAGGGCCUAUUGGUCUGGUUUCAGUUUUGGCCGCUCGUGCUUUCGGGGCACCAAGAAUUGUCAUUGUGGAUAUGGACGACAAGCGUUUAGCCAUGGCAAUGUCUCUCGGCGCUGAUGGCACCGUCAAAGUUUCAACAAAAAUGGAGGAUUUGGAUGACGAAGUUGCCAAGAUUAAAGAAGCAAUGGAAUCCGAGGUGGAUGUGACCUUUGAUUGUGUGGGUUUUAAUAAAACCAUGUCGACGGGUCUCAACGCCACUCGCCCCGGCGGCAAAGUCUGCCUUGUCGGAAUGGGACACGGCAUGAUGACAGUGCCUCUCACUCCAGCUGCUGCCAGGGAGGUUGAUGUGGUUGGUGUUUUCCGGUACAAGAACACAUGGCCACUUUGCCUCGAGUUUUUGAGAAGUGGGAAGAUCGACGUGAAGCCGCUUAUUACUCACCGGUUUGGAUUUACCGAGAAGGAGGUGGAAGAAGCCUUUGCUACCAGUGCUCGUGGGGGUGACGCCAUCAAAGUCAUGUUUAAUCUAUAGAAAGUUAGCUAUAAGUUACGAAAUUUCGGAUUCUUUGAGACGACAAAUUGUGAUGGUUCGGAAAUCUUAGAUGUAAAUUAGCUACAGUUUAGUUUUUUUAUUUUUUUGUACAAUGUUCUGGUUUCUACUGUUGGGGAAAGCCUUAUGGUAGAACCUAAGCUUGUUCAUGUACAGAGUUGUAAAUUGAUUUAUUUGACAUUAUUUCCUUCGAGAAAUAUGAACUAUGUAAUGUUACAUUAUUUGGAAAGAUACUUCAAUCAAUAUAUGACUUUUUUUUUUAUCACAAGCUGUGUUUAUUUAACACAAGGUCUCGGUCGCUCUUCCAUUUGGAGCAUACAUAAGUAUUACAAGUACACAGUCGAAAUUAAAUCAUCUCAACUUAUUUUGUGUGUGACCUUUCGUUUACUUAUCAAUCCACAUGGUGUUGUUUAAGAUGAAAGCCUUCAUUGCUUUUGCAGCAAGUUACUCUUUUUCUCUCUUUUUCAUCCCAAGGCAUUUUCUUUUACCUUUUUUCACCCUAAAGUUUUAAACUCUAAAUAUUCUUGUGCUAGUGAAGCCAGAUAUAAAGAGGUGUUAAAACAAUUUCUAUUCAACUAAUAAAUAUAAAGAUUUUGUGAAUAUUAAACUUAUUGGUACAAGUAACUUAGCAAAAAAGUAGGUCUUACAUAUUGCGACGUCCAAGAAGCUAACAGAGUAUUUUGACAAAGUUGAGUUCAGGAGGUUAAGUGAUACAAAAAUGAAUUUCAAGGGAGCAAAGUGAAACUCAAACGAUAGUUUUGGAUUUAUAUCAAUAAUUAUGCAAUCAAUAUUUUCAUCUUAUAAUACUAUAAGAAUUUGAGUAGCGCUACAGUUACUAGCUAUUUUUAUCAUCAUUUGUACCAUCUAUGUAAUAAAAAUUGGUACAAAUAAUGUUACAAAUAAAUGGUAUAAAUAACAUUUUUAUAAGAACUUUAACAAUUAUGCAUUUAGAAAUUAAACAUAACCGUUAUCAAUUUUUAUAUUGAUUUUCUAUGGACACUUUAAAGCAAAUAGGCUAUUCUCUCAAUUGAGUUCUUUAUUUUAGUUGUCGCCUGAUGCAAAUGACUAAAAACUCUCUUACAUGAAACAGGUCCUAGAGCUGUGAAUUGGGGCAAAUAAAUGCGGAUUGGGGCGGGUCCAACUAUUAGAAACAUACAAUGGGGUGAGGCGGAGCGGGUCCAAAUGGAUGAGGAAACAGGACCUGGACCCGAACCGUUUCUAGGGUUAACUUAUAGAUGGAGAUUAAAUCUCCACUAUUGAGUGUCUAUCUAGUCAGCUCCCACAGUUGGUUUUUAAUGUAAGAUUCUCUUUGUCUCUGUUGCUGUGUCUCUCUCACUUAAAUCAGUCUUUAUGUCGAACUCGAAGGGACGAAAUCACGCAAUCCAACAACUCGAAACGACGAUAGCAGUAUUAGUAAUCUCCUCCGUAUGACUGAGUCGACACCUUUACCUUCAACUUUAAGGUAUUAUGAUUUAGGGAUUUAGGAUUGAAAAUAAAUUAGGGUUUUCUAGUUUCAGACUUUUUUAGAUUUAGUUAUUUAUAUAUCUCCUGUGAUAGUUUUAGUCUUUCAUACUUGGUUCUGUUUCAGGAUUGUGAAGAAUUUUAAUUAUGCUGCUGGGAAUUUGCUAAUUUGUUGUUUGUGUGAUUUGGUUGGGAUUGCAUAAUGACUUGGGUUUCUAAAUUAGGAGUGUGCAAUAUUCUUUUCUCCUAAUUAGACUCUAUACAGGGCAAGGUUUACAAAUGAGAAGCAGAUGUUGCAGUGGUACUUACACCAAUUUAAAUAUUCUGUUAUGAAAAAAAAAACAUAAAUAGAAAAAUAGCAUAAAUAGUCCCGUUACAUUUUAAAACAUGUAUAAUCCGAUCACUUCAAUUUAGUCCUAACGCGACCCUUGCCCACCCCCACAUAAAACUCUCUACCCUCCUAUCUAUCUAUUAUGUAAAAAAAAAAAAAGGCACUAAAAACUAAAAUUGUAAUUUAGUAACCCUCUAAAUUCCCAUAAAUUGCAAAUUUCAUCCAUAUGACACUGUGUCGUCGUCAACCAUCAUUUUUACCAAGUAAAACAAGACCAGCCAUUAUCAUGUCCAAAAGGCCAUAUUUGAUUGCCGGUCAAAAGCGGGAGACGCCACAAUUCUACGAUUGCAACUCUUAUUAAUAUAUUGUAUUAUUCAACUUGCUUGAUUCAUGUUUGUCCCAAGAGACAUUCUUUGGAGGAUUUUAGAGAAGAAAGGAGUACGAGUAGCAUAUAUCCAAGCUAUAAAGGAUAUGUACGAAGGAGCAAAGACUGCUGUAAGAACUCAUGAAGGACAAACUUCCCCAUAGCUGUAGGAUUACAUCAAGGCUCAUCCUUAAGUCCUUACCUUUUUGCGUUGGUAAUGGAUGAGUUAACAGGACAUAUUCAAGAUGAUAUUCCUUGGUGUAUGCUUUUCGCAGACGAUAUAGUGUUGAUAGAUGAAACUCAGGAAGGGGUAAAUGAGAAGCUUAACCUUUGGAGAGAAGUGUUGGAAUCUAAAGGUCUUCGCCUAAGCCGAUCAAAGACAGAAUAUAUGGAGUGCAAGUUCAGUGCAAAUGGAGGCCAAAAUGAGUUAGGGGUGAGGAUCGGAGAUCAGGAAAUACCAAAGAGCGACCGUUUUCGCUACCUAGGAUCUAUCUUGCAAAAGAACGGAGAAUUAGAUGGAGAUCUCAACCAUAGAAUACAAGCUGGAUGGAUGAAGUGGAAGAGUGCAUCCGGCGUGUUGUGUGAUCGUCGUAUGCCACUGAAACUUAAGGGAAAAUUUUAUAGGACGGCAAUAAGGCCGGCGAUGCUGUAUGGCACAGAAUGUUGGGCGGUGAAGCACCAACACGUACACAAAAUGGGUGUAGCGGAGAUGAGGAUACUUUGUUGGAUGUGUGGGCACACGAGAAAGGAUAAGAUUAGGAAUGGGGAUAUCCGAGGUAAAGUAGAAGUAGCCGAAAUUGAAGGAAAACUGAGAGAAAAUCGGUUACGGUGGUUUGGACAUGUGCAAAGAAGGCCUACUGACGCUCCGGUUAGAAGAUGCGACUACGGGACAGAGGUUCAGGGCCGAAGGGGUAGAGGAAGACCUAGGAAAACUUUGGAAGAGACUCUAAGAAAAGACUUAGAGUACUUGGAUCUAACGGAGGACAUGACACAGGAUCGAGCACAAUGACGUUCUAAGAUUCAUAUAGCCGACCCGACUCAGUGACUUGGAUUUUUCAAGUCUCCAAUCGAGAAGUUUUCCCCACUCGGGAAAUUAAGGGAACACUACCUCAACCUACAUGCUCCACUCACAAAGCUUCAACAUACAAGCUUCAACAAAAGAAAAAUUCAAAGAACUUAGUGAAGAAGGCUUUGGUGUAUUUAACACAAUACGUUGAAAUGAAACAAAGCUUAUUUAUUGAUAUCUCUGAGAAGUUACAAAUAUGUACAUAUACACGAGUCAAAAUAAACAAACAAGAGGGUUCCUUCACAAAGGUUGCUUAGGAGAAGUCUCAGCAGUCGGCAGAGCCCCAGAAAGAGAAGGCACUGGAGGGGGAUCGUUCGGAGCCUCAGUAGCCUCAGUACUGGAUAGCACCCUAGAAGGAUGAGGCAUCAGAGGUUGAUCAUUUGGAGCUUCAUUACGCGGUACAGCCCCAGAAGACGAAGGCAAUAAAUGUCUUUGGAACAAACCCACAAACCUCUGAUGAUCAUGUAAAAUCUGACCAUCAGAUUCCUUCAUCUGGUCAAGCUUCCUUUUCAUGUUUGUAGCAUAUUCAUGAGCGAGCCGGUGCAACUGUUUAUUCUCAUGCUUGAGCCCUCUAAUCUCCUGUUUGAGACUCAUCACUUCAUCCGCCAAUGAUUCAACUUGGCGGGUUCGAGCAAAUAGGCGUUGGGCCAUAUUAGACACAGAACCUGCACACUGAACACUGAGAGCCAGAGAAUCCUUAACAGCCAACUCAUCAGACCGUUUGGAAAGUAGUCUGUUAUCUUUGGAAGUAAGAAGGUUCCUGGCCACCACCGCAGCGGUCAUAUCAUUCUUCAUCACGGAAUCCCCAACGGUAAGAGGAUCAGUAGGGGAUAAGAAGGAUGGGCGCCAUAUGUUGUCUGGAGAAGGCGUGGCUGCCUCUUCAACAAGAUUCAAGUCUAAACGACGGUCGGAGGGGCCAGACAUUUUCAAAGGUGUUGAAGAGAAAAGAGGUCGGACAAAUCAAGAUCUUAGAAAUGCAAGAAGGGAGCUUCUACUGGUGAAGAUUCAAGUGUGCUUUGGAACUUAAUACCAGCCUCUAUAAAAAUCCGCACUCGAUGGAGCUUCAGAAAUCGAAGAGGCGCCUGCUCAGAAAUCGAAAAGGCGUUUGCUUUCUCAAAAGCUGGGCUGCUUAGAGACCACGAGGGCCGAUCUCAGGAAUCGAAGAGGCGUUUGCUUUCUCAAAAGCUGGGCUGCUCAAAGUCCACGAAGGUCGAUCGCAGAAAUCGAAGAGGCGCUUGCUUUCUCAAAAGCUGGGCUGCUCAGAGACCACGAGGGCCGAUCUCAGAAAUCGAAGAGGCACCUGCUUUUUCAGCCUUGUCAGCACCUGUCACAUGCACACUCAACUUUGCGAAAAUUACGGGCAUUAUGUCGAAGAUUUCUAGUGAAGUAGAAAGCACGUGAAUGUUACUGUUCAAUCAUUCACUUUCCACACGCAACAUCAGCUCACGGGUACCACAGAUAACUUUGCCAAAAAUCUAUGACAAAGUUUAGACACGUGAAGCUUGCAGCUCCCAUUACAUCGCUAUGACCAAGAAGGGUAAAAGAAUAGCAAAGAAACAGCACUAACAAAGUUUAGACACAUAAAUUUUGAAGGUCUAGCUACCAUAUUAUUACCCACAAGGAUAAAGGAACAGGACCAUUGCUGGAUAAUUGGAAAGUCCUUGUGGGUCAACCUCUGUGCUCCGUGGCAAGGUAGACUAGCAAACAGGCCUAACCUUUACUCACAUUCGAGAAAACACUCCCAACAAGAUUGCUUGCUUCAAGAUCGAAGAGGCACCGUCUUCCGAAUCUCGAGAGCCAGACUCCCAUCAUGAUUACUUUCUCAAAAAGCGACGAGACACCGCUCUCCGAAUCUCGAGAGCCAGACUCCUAGCAGGAUUGCUUUCUCAAAAAUCGAAGAGGCACCAUUCUCCGAAUCUUGAAAGACAGAUCCCCGACAGGAUUGCUUGUUCGAAAAUCGAAGAGGCACCGCUUUCUCAACUUCGAGAGCCCCUUAGAUAAAGCUUGUCUGUAAUCCUCACAUCGCUUUCUCAACUUCGAGAGCCAGAUCUCCUUGGAUAAAGCUUAUCUGUAAUCUUCACACGUAACAUCAGCUUUCCAGAUACUACAGACCACUUUUUCAAAGUGCUCUGACAGAGUUAAAACACGUGAAGCUGGCAGCUCCCACUACCGUGCUAUGACCAAGCAGGGUAAAAAAAUAGUAUUACUCCUUGUUAGGGAGACUCCUAUAUAUGUCGACCUCCAUCCUCAACGGACAGGCAGACCUGCAAAAAUGCUCAACCCUUCCUCAUAUCUGAGAGGGCACUCCCAACGAAGCCUCUCGAAAUACUCAGCUUUCUUUCCCCCCGAGAAUACCUCUGCAAACAAGCUACACUAGAGCAAGAAUAUCUCAUAUCAUCAGGGUUAAAAGCAAGAGUAUCCCAUAUCAUGUUUUUUCCCUGUCUUUUCCUUUGGCCUUGUUCUUACCUGCAAGACAAGGAGAAAGAAAGCAAUCAGUCAACACUUGGAAUCAAGCUUCCAGUCCGGAACUGACUGCCUGGAACCCCAUUACUCUCGAGUACUCAUCUUCAACAUCUUCAGCUUCCCGAGAAGAUACCACAUCUGCCUGAGGAGCAAAUAGGGCAAGUGAGAAGGAUACAAGCAAGCAUGUGGAGACAAGCGCAACAGAACACGUGCCGAUACAUCCACUACUUUGUCAAUAGCAAAAGUAUCCCAUAUCAGCAGGGUCGAACGUACUCUAGAUUUGAUGGACUUGUUUUGACCCUCAAAUUCUUCAGUCGGCCUUAUACUCUGGCGGAAACAAGAAAACCCUCCAGUCCAGUUCAAGAAUAAGCCUGUGGAAAGUUACUUAUUCAAAAGCAAAAGUAUCUCAUAUCACUUUUUCUCUUUUUCUUCUCUUUAUCCUUCAUGCUACCUGCAAGAUAAGGAGAAGGAUAACAAUCAGUCGGAACUCGAAAUCAAACUUCUGAUCUGGGACUGAUUGCUUGGAGCUCUGAUUACUUACCUUGUCUGUCACCUCUUUCAGCAGAUCCCCUAGCUCGGCGACUUGGGGGACUUCUACUACAUGGUUUGUAUCGCGCUUGACUAAGCCUGAAACUACAAGUAAGCGUCAAGUGAAAUUGAUACAUUACCUUGUGCAUCUCCACCAGUUAAAAAUACCACCCCUGGAUGGAGGAAGAGUACUUCCAAAGAAGAGGCCACAUCUACCUAUGAGACAGAUAAGGCAAGUGAAGACGAUACCACACUUCGGUACUUAAAAGUUUCGUGAUUACGAGAUCAUUCUUCCACAAUAUUUCAUAAUGUCAUUUGUACUAAAUCAUUCACUUGUACUCACUAAAGGAGAGCUUGAACCUAUAUACUGUGUAAACCCUUCACAAUUAAUGAGAACUCCUUUACUCCGUGGACGUAGCCAAUCUGGGUGAACCACGUACAUCUUGUGUUUGCUUCCUGUCUCUAUCCAUUUACAUACUUAUCCACACUAAUGACCGGAGCAAUCUAGCGAAGAUCAUAAACUUAAUAUUUAAAAUGAUAUUCUUUGGUGUAUGCUUUUCGCAAACGAUAUAGUGUUGAUAGAUGAAACGCAGGAAGGGGUAAACGCGAAGCUUAACCUUUGGAGAGAAGUGUUGGAAUCUAAAUGGUCCUAAGCCGAUCAAAGACAGAAUAUAUGGAGUGCAAGUUCAGUGCAAACGGAGGCCAAAAUGAGUUAGGGGUGAGGAUCGGAGAUCAGGAAAUACCAAAGAGCGACCGUUCUCACCCAUAGAAUACAAGCUGGAUGGAUGAAGUGGAAGAGUGCAUCCGGCGUGUUGUGUGACCGUCGUAGGCCACUGAAGCUCAAGGGAAAUUUUUAUAGGACGGCAAUAAGGCCGGCAAUGCUGUAUGGCAUAGAAUGUUGGGCGGUGAAGCAUCAACACGUAGGUGUAGUGGAGAUGAGGAUGCUUCGUUGGAUGUGUGGGCACACGAGAAAGGAUAAGAUUAGGAAUGAGGAUAUCCGAGGUAAAGUAGGAGUAGCCGAAAUUGAAGGAAAGAUGAGAGAAAAUCGAUUACGGUGGUUUGGACAUGUGCAAAGAAGGCCUACUGACGCUCCGGUUCGAAGAUGUGAUCACAGGGCAGAGGUUCAGGGCCGAAGGGGUAGAGGAAGACCUAUGAAAACUUUGGAAGAGACCCUAAGAAAAGACUUAGAGUACUUGGAUCCAACGGAGGACAUGACACAAAACUGAGCGCAAUGGCGUUCUAAGAUUCAUAUAGCCGACCCCACUUAAUAGGAAAAGGCUUUGUUGUUGUUGUUGUUGUAGUUAUUUAUAUAUCUCCUGUGAUAGUUUUAGUCUUUCAUACUUGGUUCUGUUUUAGGAUUGUGAAGAAUUUUAAUUAUGAUGCUGGGAAUUUGCUAAUUUUGCUGUUUGUGUGAUUUGGUUGGGAUUGCAGAGUGACUUGGGUUUCUAAAUUAGGAGUGUGCAAUAUUCUAUUCUCCUAAUUAGACUCUGUACAGGGCAAGGUUUACAAAGGAGAAGCAGAUGUUGCAGUGGUACUUAAAACCAAUUUAAAUAUUCUGUUAUGAAAAAAAAAAACAUAAAUAGAAAAAUAACGUAAAUAGACAUGUGGACCUAGCCCAGUCCAUCCCGUUACAUUUUAAAACAAGUCUAAUCCGAUCACUUCAAUUUAGUCCUAACGCGACCCGUGCCCACCCCCACAUAAAACUCUCUACCCCCCUAUCUAUCUAUUAUGUUUGAAAAAAAAAAAAGGCACUAAAAACUAAAAUUGUAAUUUAGUAACCUCUAAAUUCCCAUAAAUUGCAAAUUUCAUCCAUAUGACACUGUGUCGUCGUCAACCAUUUUUACCAAGUAAAACAAGACCAGCCAUUAUCAUGUCCAAAAGGCCAUAUUUGAUCGCCGGUCAAAAGCGGGAGACGCCACAAAUCUACGAUUACAACUCUUAUUAAUAUAUUGUAUUAUUCAACUUGCUUGAUUCAUGUUUGUCUUAAACCAACAUAAUUUGUCCCACCCGAAUAUGUUGCCUGCGCGUGUCUGACUCGACGUUGCCGUGGCACUCAUUAUCCAUAUCUUUGUGACGACCCACGCCUAUUUGACAUUUUGACUUGGCCAAACUUGCUCCUUGGAGAAAUUUCUGGACCUUCGCAACCGCCAACAGUCGCACAACUCUAUCACCACAUGUAUCUGACGUGGAAAUUAGUCACUGAUCUUUGAAGCGUGAAGAAACCUAAAAGCAUCCAGCGGCAACACUGACAGCCCAUCUCAACUCGUUUCUGUAAAGCGUUGACAUUAUAUUAUUUUAUUUUAUUUUAUUAAUAAGAAAUACCGACGAAAAAUAAAUAAAUAAAUCAAACAAUUGUUUUGAGCUAAUUAGACAAAUGACAUAGCUAUCCAUGUGUGGCCGGUGGAUCUGCGUUGCAGGUUUCUUGAAAGAAAAAAAACACCCAUCCCUCCCCCAAUCUGUCAUUGCGAGUCUUCUUGUUGACGUUAAAGGGCUGUCUUGGCCUAAAACAAUGACCUAGGAUUUUUUUUUAGACUUCUUCCGUAUAUGUUUGGAAACAGUAUUAGAAAUGGAGUACUUUGCAAUAUAUAUAUAAAGCUCGUUUGGAAGUGUUUUAAAAAUGACCGAAUGAGUUUUAAAAAAAAUGUUGUGUUUGAAAAACACCGAAAGUGCUUCCAAUAAGACACACUAAUUCUGCGAUUCUUGUGUAAGCAUUUCAAGAGUUUCUUCAAGAUUCAAUUAUAUUUUUGCAAAACAUUGGUUACAAAAACAUUUUCUUAAAAAAACGUUUUUAAUCAAUUAAAAAACAGUUACAAAAUAGCUCAUAUAAGUGUUUUUCUUUUUUACAGAAAAACAUUCUUGGUUUACAUAACCGAAAAACAAUAAUUUUUAUGACUUAUUUUGCAUGUGUGUCUUUAGUUUGUAAAAAUGUGAAGGCACUCCUUCUAGGAAACAUCCACCAAUGUCCCCCCAUAAUAUUUAUUCGUUUUUGCAAAAGAAAUAGAUAAUGUUUCAGGUUUAGAUUAUCCUAAUCUUAUACAAACCAACUUGACCAAAUCAGACUCUCAAGUUUGCUAUAAAUACACACCCUUGCCAAGCUUGUUCCAUAAAAAAAAAACAAAAAAAAAAACACACGUAUUCCGUCUUUCAAACACACACAGCACAAAGCAAACAGAGAAAGCAAUACACUUCAGAAAAAAACACAGUGCAAGUGUCAAAAAUAUUAUGGGUAAGGGAGGCCAAUCGAUUAAUGGAGUGGCUAAGGAAGCCAAACCUGUUGAGCAAGAAAACAUGGCUGCUUGGCUUGUUGAUGUCAACACCAUCAAGAUCCUACCUUUCGAGCUCCCCAGUAUCGGUAUUUACCUCUCUCCAUUCCUUUAAAUUCAUCGUUAUUUUUUUUCGGUUUUUAGUUUUCAUCGUUGUAGGGAUGCUAACAUGUUGCUCCCCUGUUCUCUUGGGAUUUCUUACUUUUAGGACCCAAUGAUGUCCGGAUUUGGAUUAAGGCUGUCGGCAUUUGUGGAAGCGAUGUUCACUACCUCAAGACCAUGAAAUGUGCGAAUUUUGAGGUCAAGGAGCCAAUGGUAAUCGGACAUGAGUGUGCUGGCAUCGUAGACAAAGUUGGGAG
rnacentral:lncRNA from 1 species